AAUAGUAAAAUAAUUUGUUCAAUUGAUUCACCAAACGAAAUAAUUUAAAAAUGACAUUUUCCGGUUGAAGGUAGCAGCUAGCAACACUUGGCAAAUGGCGGGAUUCUGAGCGGAGCACCGUACCGUGCGGUCGUGCAAGCGAGAUUGUGUUGAAAAGAAUAAAGAUUGAUAGUCUGUUGAAAGUGUUGACGUUUUCUUGGAGAGGAGUCCUAUACCUUGGAGUGGAGUUCUUACAUUUCAGAAGUGGGAUACAGCGCAAAUACUGCUUGCCAGACCAGAGCAUGGAUGCCACCGGCAGCUGGACUCAGCACAGGCUGGAGAUGCCGGAAAGAGAGUCGCCGCGAAGCAACCACACUGGCAGUCGAAGCGGAAGUCGCAGUCGACGUUUGGGAGAGCAAGAGAGGAGCGCGAGCCAGCAAAGAUCAGCGCCGCACUGCCACGAUGGGCACCAGGAUGUCAACCAGGAACAGCAACCAUCACGAAGGUUAUGUAGUCCAGUUUUUACUACUAACGAUCUUUUAAUGCUACUAAAUUCCGUUAAACGUGUACCGUCGCGUCGCCGUCUCAACCCAUGGCUCAAGGCGCACCAUCGAAACAUUUCGAUUUUAAAAACAUAUUGAAUGAUUUUAAUCCGACUACUAAAAAUCAACGCAUGGAUGUUUGGCUUAGAAAGGUGAACGAGUGCGCCUCGGCCGAUGGUUGGGACGACAAAUGCCGAUACUUUUGCUAUGCAGGAGCUGCAGGGAUUGGCCAAACUUGAUAUGAGAGUUUAAACUCUAAACUAUUUACGUGGCGGGAGUGUCAGGAGAAAUUACUUAGUGCAUUCCUUGUGAACAAAUUAUGGUCAAACCCUGGAGGACAUGCUUAAUAACUUCCCUGUCCCAUGAGUCAUAUGUGAUACACACCGAUUGUCUUACUAUUGUGUCUGCUUGGUGGAGAGUGAAGUGGUUAAACGUAGAAGUAGAUGCUACGAACGAACCUAUUUAUGAUUUAUUAUUAUGAAAAACUUGCUGAAUCAGUGCGAUAUCACGGGAGCUGUAGAUUACAUUAGCAUUACCCACAGAAUCAGUGAUCGGACUGUGAAAUCUAAUGCACUUGCUUUGCGAGAUGCCUGACCAGUUACUUCAGUCCUUGAUUAACAAUAAAGAAUUUUAAUUGUAAGCAGAAGAAGGACAUCCUUACCUUCAGUGUCCUAAGCCUUUUAUCCGAUGCGAUAAAUGGAAAAGUAGGUCACAAAACCGACAACUGUUUCAGUAAACAGGAUAGAUCUGAGCUUUUUUUUUAUUUGUGUCAACAUGUGUGUAACUUCGUUUAAAAAAAAACUAAUUUAUGGCAACUAUGGUUUAUUUUUAAAUAGCGUAUAGAUUGAAAUUAACGAAAAUUAAGUUAGAACGCCAAAAAUAUAACUAGAAUAAAAAAUAACCGAAUACAUGAUGGAAAAAGCUGUGUGAUCACUUCCAGAAUGUGACUCUAUUGAGAAUGAUAUUAACAAAAAAUUACACAAAGUAUUAUUAAUAUUUUUACUACUAAUUAAAGAAAACAAUCUUGUCAAAAGAAAAAAAAAACACAAAACACGACAAUUCUUUGAACGUUUAAUAACAAAAAUCAAACUUUCAGUUAUGUGACUUUUAAUGCACAUCGGAUAUAAUUUUUUUUUAAAUAUUAAGCUAUAAUAAAAAUAUAUUUCUGCAAUGAUCCCUAGUUAUGAAUCAAAAUUAAAUUCCUGUCCAUCGAGCGAAAACAGAACAAAACAGUGUUUUAUAAAGAAUUUUUAAUAUUUUUUUUUUGUUUAAAAUAGAAAACAGGGACAGUCAUACCACUGAACGCCUGAAAAGGAUAAAGCUUCAUCUACAUGGACGCUAUUAUUAUAAUUAUGUAAUAUUCCAGAUCAACAUUUAAUAAUAAUCAAGAAAUACUAUAUCUUUUCAAUAAUGGAACAAAUAAUUACAAAAAUAUUGUACCUCGUUUACAUAAAGAUUGUAAACAUGAAUAAAAUAAAAUUGAUCCCCACAGAAAACUUAUUCUGAAUUUCUGAAACGACAUCACUGUUUCCAUGUAAACUUAACUUUAUAGGAUCAGUCAUGUUGUGACUUUGAGCUCAGCCCGUAUGUGACCAUAGAUUUGGUCACAAAACGGAAGUCACAUUUUCAUACUUGCCGAUUAAAAAGAAAAUUAUAAAUAAUUAUUUGUGGUUCUUUUCCAUUUGAUGUCAUUUUAAAAGUAACCGAAAGAAAUGGCGGUUUCUAGAAAUAAACAGCAAUCCUAAUAUUUGGUUACGCUGUAGUACAAUUCAAACACAUAUCUGAACAUAAAUUCCGUUCUUGUACAACAAAACGUCUACGUUCCUCAAAGUCCUUUUGACUUUAAUAGUAAAGUAAAGUAAAACGCAGUAGUAUGUUUAAGUAGUGCCUGUUUCAAAGUAUUAGGACCCAAAAAUUGUGGCUUAAAGUACUAUAAAAUGCGGUCACAAUACUGAAUGUUCAGGGUGGAUCAAAAUUUUAUACGUUUUUUUAUGUAAAUAAGCCAGAAUAUUGCAAAUGAAUUGAUGAAUAUUAUUAAAUGAUGACGAAUAACCUAUUAAUAUUUUUAUAAAAUGACUAUCGAUAUUUUGUUUUCUUUUAUUGAUGCGAGAUAAGGAAUUGUCCAUAAAUUGAUUUUUGUCAUUGAUUGUUUAAUAUCAAGUGGUUACCAAGAUUUUAUUCCUUAGAAAUGUCAAAAGGUUAAUAUUUAUGUUUACUUACUUCCUUUUAUGUAUUGUUAAGUAUUGUUAGUUAUCCAUGAUAUUCCUUUGAAUUCGAAUGAAGUCUUUAGAUUAAGAUGACACAUGUAAUUGAUUGAGUAAUGAUGAUCUUUUGAAUUAUGCGAGUAAUGAAUGGUUCGCUAUUUAGAUUGAGUGUCUGUGAGAGGUGAAGGGUUCACAUGACAAUCAAUUUUCAGUUGGAUAUGACCUUGCGAUAAAUGAAUGACUCGUUUUGGUCAUAUAAAUGUGAGAAAUGAAGGGUUCACAUUUUAUAUUCUCGCGAGAAACGAAAGUUUCGUGGGAGCAUAAAUUAUUAAGAGGACGAAUUGGAUUUUUUGGCGCCAAGGAUCUCAAUUUUUCUCAGUAAAUACAAAACGGAUCAAAAUACAACUUGGUUACCUGAAAGUUCAUGAUAUAAACCUUAUUUUGUUAGAAGUGAAAACAUGAUUAGGUAACUUUUAUAACAGAGAAAAAUAUAUCAAACAUACCUCUUUUUAAAAAGAGAUUCACAUAUUAUGGGCAGACGUUUACCGAGCAGCCACUUCUAGUUAUUUAGAAGGAUUUUAAUGAGCUUAAAUUCUCAAACCACCGAAAUGUUCGGAUGAUAGCAAUAAUGAUAAAACGGUUACAGUCAGUAACUCUUUUAAAGUAGAGUCACCGUUUCACGCACUCCAUUUAGACCACUUGGGGCCUUUUGUGAAGUCAACAUUGGGGUAUACUCACAUACUGGUGGUAGCUGAUGUUUCAACAAUAUCGUAUUUAUUAGAGCCGUUAGGAACACUAAUACACAGAAUGUUAUCAAGGUCUUAAAUGAUAUAUUUGAUACUUUUAGGACGCCCAUCCGUUUAAUAACUAAUCGCCGUAGUUGUUUUACUUCACAUGCGUUUAAAAGGCUUUAUCUGGAUAAGGGCGUGAAAAAUGUUUGAACGCGGUGGCUUAUCCGCGCUCAGACGGACGAGUGGAGCGAUAUGGUCGCGCCAAUUGGAGGUAUUAAAGGCGCAAAACGUGGGCAGUGACGAAAGAGAAUGGGAUAGUAAGAUGGGGAAAAUCCAGUGGGGUCAUAAUGAUAGCUUGCAGAAGACCAUAGGUUCGAGGAGGUGAAUGAAUGGUGAAAUGAAUCCCAUAUUAAACGAAGUAGCCGGGGCUAAUGAUGUUGAUCAUGAUAUUGAAUUAGUAUUAUGAUAAGAGUGGAAAGCAGGCUGGAAUUUAUAGUAAAGGAUUUGGUCAAGUUACUAAAAUGAAUUUGCAGAAUGACGGUAAAAGUUUAAAGCUUUUAGAGUUACGAAGAUCUUAGGCAACAACAGGUAGAGACUGGUUCCUGUCCUAGUACUUGAGCCUACGCGUACGCCUAGUGUGUGCGCAACGCUGCCGUGGCUGUGGAUUGAAUGCGUCUUUUGAUUCAUGCGGAGUCACUGGGGGUGAACGAUGAUGGCAUUGAUUGAGUGUAUAAAUCGAGUAAUGAUGGUAGUGGUGAUGAAAUGUAGAUGAGCGUUUUAAAAGAUAUAAUAAAUAUUUAUUGCGAAACAGAUGUAUAGAUUAGAUUAAAUUAGUUAUUUUCUUAUGAUUCUUAUUUACAGAUUAUUUUGAUUUGAUUGUUUUUACCGGAUACUUGUUCAUUGUAUGAAUUUAGUAUUGUUACAGAUAUCGCUCCUCGACUCUAAGAAGUGAUUGGUUUAAAGAUUCGAGAGAGAAAUUCGUCACGAGUCGUCGAGAAUUGACUGGUUUGAAGCACAUGCAGAUGAGUUUUUGGUGUAAGUCCUUUAGAAAUGAAUGGUUAAAGGCAUUCUAGUUUCUCCUUCAGAAAUGAAUGGUUGAAGGAGUUCGUCUAGUUGAAACCCUCAGAAAUGAAUGGUUGAGGGAUAGGAAGUCCUCGAGAAUUGAUUGGUUCGAGGCACAUGAUGAGUUUAUGUUGUAAUUCCUUCAGAAAUGAAUGGUUGAAGGAGUUAGCAUUAGUGUUCUGGCUGUGGUGUCUCAAUCAAUAUAUUUAUGCCAAUAUAAUAUAUGUAAGGCUUAUUAAUGUUAAUGAUUAUUUCACAGAUACAGUGUUGUUUUUUUUGUUUUAAUUUUUGUGAAUAUAAUUUGAAACGAUGUUGAAUUGUAUAAGUUGUAAUUCAAUUAUAAUUAAAUUGUAAUAGACAGCUGUGUUGCUGGGAAGUUUGUUCUUCACCACUUCUUCUUCCCAGCCAUAACACUAGGAAGUGGUGAAAGGGGGGCGUUUUGGGGGUGCUGUCCUUUUAUGAAUUUUGUAAAAUAUCGCUAUUGGCCAAGUGUAAGGUUAGCCCACUUAGUACGUGUAUGGGGACAUACACGAGGUCAGGAUGGACGAGUGUAAGGUUUGGAUAUAUUUUAGAUAUCUAAUUUCAUGUUAUAAUUUUGAAUAGUAAAAUAAUUUGUUCAAUUGAUUCACCAAACGAAAUAAUUUAAAAAUGACAUUUUCCGGUUGAAGGUAGCAGCUAGCAACACUUGGCAAAUGGCGGGAUUCUGAGCGGAGCACCGUACCGUGCGGUCGUGCAAGCGAGAUUGUGUUGAAAAGAAUAAAGAUUGAUAGUCUGUUGAAA